rnacentral:rRNA from 1 species
GACGAACGCUGGCGGCGUGCCUAAUACAUGCAAGUCGAGCGAGCUUGCCUAGAUGAAUUUGGUGCUUGCACCAGAUGAAACUAGAUACAAGCGAGCGGCGGACGGGUGAGUAACACGUGGGUAACCUGCCCAAGAGACUGGGAUAACACCUGGAAACAGAUGCUAAUACCGGAUAACAACACUAGACGCAUGUCUAGAGUUUAAAAGAUGGUUCUGCUAUCACUCUUGGAUGGACCUGCGGUGCAUUAGCUAGUUGGUAAGGUAACGGCUUACCAAGGCAAUGAUGCAUAGCCGAGUUGAGAGACUGAUCGGCCACAUUGGGACUGAGACACGGCCCAAACUCCUGCGGGAGGCAGCAGUAGGGAAUCUUCCACAAUGGACGCAAGUCUGAUGGAGCAACGCCGCGUGAGUGAAGAAGGGUUUCGGCUCGUAAAGCUCUGUUGGUAGUGAAGAAAGAUAGAGGUAGUAACUGGCCUUUAUUUGACGGUAAUUACUUAGAAAGUCACGGCUAACUACGUGCCAGCAGCCGCGGUAAUACGUAGGUGGCAAGCGUUGUCCGGAUUUAUUAGGCGUAAAGCGAGCGCAGGCGGAAGAAUAAGUCUGAUGUGAAAGCCCUCGGCUUAACCGAGGAACUGCAUCGGAAACUGUUUUUCUUGAGUGCAGAAGAGGAGAGUGGAACUCCAUGUGUAGCGGUGGAAUGCGUAGAUAUAUGGAAGAACACCAGUGGCGAAGGCGGCUCUCUGGUCUGCAACUGACGCUGAGGCUCGAAAGCAUGGGUAGCGAACAGG